GUCCCCCUGACUUUGCUCUUAAUUACCACUGCAGGAUACCCACAGGUAACACUUACUGUGAUAUGACAGAAAUGGCCAAAAGUUAAAAGGGCACCUUUCAUUCCUCUCCCUUUUUUUCCCCUUUUAACGGUAUCUUUUUGUUUACUUCUCAAUGUUUAUUGUAAUGAGCUAAAGCAGAGCCUUCCUAAGGAAAAUAACUAGAUAUUGUAUAUUUUACAA
rnacentral:misc_RNA from 1 species